GAUUAACGCUGGCGGCAUGCCUAAUACAUGCAAAUCGAACGAAGCACUUGUGCUUAGUGGUGAACGGGUGAGUAACACGUAUCCAAUCUACCCUUAGGUUGGGGAUAACUGGUCGAAAGACUAGCUAAUACCGAAUAUCAAUACUCCUAUCGCAUGAGAAAGUAUUGAAAGAUCCUUUUGGAUCGCCUUUGGAUGAGGGUGCGGCAUAUCAGAUAGUUGGUGAGGUAACGGCUCACCAAGUCAAUGACGUGUAGCUGUACUGAGAGGUAAAACAGCCACAAUGGGACUGAGACACGGCCCAUACUCCUACGGGAGGCAGCAGUAGGGAAUUUUCCACAAUGGGCGAAAGCCUGAUGGAGCAACGCCGCGUGCAGGAUGAAGGCCUUCGGGUUGUAAACUGCUUUUAUAUGUGACGAAUAUGACGGUAGCAGAUGAAUAAGGAUCGGCUAACUCCGUGCCAGC
rnacentral:rRNA from 1 species